UUGUGUUUAGAGGGCUCUGAUUCUUCAGU
rnacentral:piRNA from 1 species